AUGCGGUGGAAGUUGGGGGGUCUGGUAAAUCAUUAUCAUCACCAGGCGGUCCAGGUUCAGGCCUCCUCCCUUCUUUCAAAGCCUUUCUUAUUUCUGCAGCUUUCCAGGCUGCAUACUUCUGCCGUUGCUCAAUAUCCGGUUGACGUUCAUUAAACUGGUUCAAAAUCUCAAAGAAAAUGCUUGCAGCAUAGAAGGUUUUUGCAGUAUUCAAA
rnacentral:misc_RNA from 1 species